rnacentral:lncRNA from 1 species
AAGUUUCUGGGAUGAAAACAAUCAAUUUACUCCACUAAUAGUCUCUAGUUUCUAAGCCUGCGGAGAAAAACCACCAACAGCAACAACAAAAACCCAGCUGCUUUUCCCAGUACUGAAUUAAGAAAGUAAAACAUUGGGUCAGAUUGCCAUUAGAGGGCGCCAGAGAGCAAGCCCCAUCACCUCUCGCACAACUUCCCACAGAAGCCCUCCUAGCUUCCAGCUCCGCCAUGCUCUGUGAUUCCUUCUCUCAGUUUCCUAAGCGGAAGUGAAAACAAGGUUUGAUGAUGAGGCUUCGAGAAGGGAGAAGGGCCGGGGAGAAAUAUGGUAAGCAUUCAAUAAAUGGUUGUUGGUAGUUGUUAUGGUGGUGAUGGGAUGGUUAACAAAUCUUUCCUAAGAAAUGCUUUCAAAG